CGACCCGGUGAACCACGUCGCCGCGCCCCACGACACAUAAAGCUUUGAAGAACCUGGGGAAAUCACCCUCCCCACCCAAACCCGGCCCCACCCCGCCCCUGUCACUCGCGCGGGUGACAUAGGGCAACUGGGCUGGAUUUCAUACGGGUUGGCUGGCAUAUGCUCGCCGCGACAACUGCAGACAUGCGACGGCCCCCGACGAGAUUGCAGUCUCGGCCGAGGGCCUGACCACCGAGGAAGUACGGAGCUUCCCG
rnacentral:ncRNA from 1 species